GACGAACGCUGGCGGCGUGCUUAACACAUGCAAGUCGAACGAUGAACCUUCCAUGAUCUAUUCGUAGAGAUUGGAAGCGGAUUAGUGGCGAACGGGUGAGUAACGCGUGAGCAACCUGCCUUAAACAACGGGAUAGCCUCGGGAAACCGGGAUUAAUACCGUAUGAGACCCCGCCUUCCCAUGAAGAAGAGGUUAAAGAUUUAUCGGUUUAAGAUGGGCUCGCGUCUGAUUAGCUAGUUGGUGAGAUAAAAGCCCACCAAGGCAACGAUCAGUAACCGGCUUGAGAGAGUGAACGGUCACAUUGGAACUGAGACACGGUCCAAACUCCUACGGGAGGCAGCAGUGGGGAAUAUUGCACAAUGGGGGAAACCCUGAUGCAGCGACGCCGCGUGAGCGAUGAAGGAAUUCGUUUCGUAAAGCUCUGUCCAAGGGGAAGAUAAUGACAGUACCCUUGGAGGAAGCCCCGGCUAAAUACGUGCCAGCAGCCGCCGCAGUAA
rnacentral:rRNA from 1 species